rnacentral:ncRNA from 1 species
GUACGGCGGGACACGUGAAAUCUCGUUGGAAUCUGGGAGGACCAUCUCCCAACCCUAAAUACUCUCUAGUGACCGAUAGUGAACCAGUACCGUGAGGGAAAGGUGAAAAGCACCCCGGCGAGGGGAGUGAAAAAGAACCUGAAACCGUGUACGUACAAGCAGUGGGAGCACGCUUAGGCGUGUGACUGCGUACCUUUUGUAUAAUGGGUCAGCGACUUAUAUUCUGUAGCAAGGUUAACCGAAUAGGGGAGCCGAAGGGAAACCGAGUCUUAACUGGGCGUUAAGUUGCAGGGUAUAGACCCGAAACCCGGUGAUCUAGCCAUGGGCAGGUUGAAGGUUGGGUAACACUAACUGGAGGACCGAACCGACUAAUGUUGAAAAAUUAGCGGAUGACUUGUGGCUGGGGGUGAAAGGCCAAUCAAACCGGGAGAUAGCUGGUUCUCCCCGAAAGCUAUUUAGGUAGCGCCUCGUGAAUUCAUCUCCGGGGGUAGAGCACUGUUUCGGCAAGGGGGUCAUCCCGACUUACCAACCCGAUGCAAACUGCGAAUACCGGAGAAUGUUAUCACGGGAGACACACGGCGGGUGCUAACGUCCGUCGUGAAGAGGGAAACAACCCAGACCGCCAGCUAAGGUCCCAAAGUCAUGGUUAAGUGGGAAACGAUGUGGGAAGGCCCAGACAGCCAGGAUGUUGGCUUAGAAGCAGCCAUCAUUUAAAGAAAGCGUAAUAGCUCACUGGUCGAGUCGGCCUGCGCGGAAGAUGUAACGGGGCUAAACCAUGCACCGAAGCUGCGGCAGCGACGCUUAUGCGUUGUUGGGUAGGGGAGCGUUCUGUAAGCCUGUGAAGGUGUGCUGUGAGGCAUGCUGGAGGUAUCAGAAGUGCGAAUGCUGACAUAAGUAACGAUAAAGCGGGUGAAAAGCCCGCUCGCCGGAAGACCAAGGGUUCCUGUCCAACGUUAAUCGGGGCAGGGUGAGUCGACCCCUAAGGCGAGGCCGAAAGGCGUAGUCGAUGGGAAACAGGUUAAUAUUCCUGUACUUGGUGUUACUGCGAAGGGGGGACGGAGAAGGCUAUGUUGGCCGGGCGACGGUUGUCCCGGUU